UCUUUGCAAUCUUUUGUGCAGACCAUUCUCAGUUGAGUUCAAGGUUACCAUCCUUAUUACAUUUCAGAUGAAUUCUUCAACGUGCAGCAAAAAUCUGAUCCAAAAGCUUUUAGAAAAUGGGUUGCAAUGGAAAGCCUUCCGUUGGAGCUAAUUUAAUCAAUGGAAUUGUUUUUGUAAUGUCAUAACUUACAAUGUACAGUUUUAUAUGGAAAAUGUUAUCUGGACAAAUCAAACAGCUAGCUGCACUUGAGCAGAGACCAGAAUGGCGUCGUUUUGUAAUUAUCAAGAUUACAGUAUCCAGUUUUACCAAUGUAGUGUAGCUCAGCAAUACAAAUGCAGAUUUAUUAAACUGACGACUUUAUGUACUUAUGUGAAUGGGUCAUGUACAACAAUUGUGUUAUCUAAUCUCCUAUUUUGUGCAA